GAGCGCCCUCCUGAGGCUGUCAGAAUAACUGGGGCGAGGCAGGGAAUGAGAGGGGACACCAGGCCUGAGGAGUGAGGAGAACAGACUAGAAUGGCUUCCUGACCGAAACUACACCCGCUCAACCCCAGGCCUGUGUAAUAGGCACUUCCACUUUAGUGUGAGGGUAAAUCCCAGAACACUGAAGAAACACAGCCCAGAGCUGGCAUCCUUUUGGCCAUUUCCUGAAGUGGAGCUGGAUUUCAGAGGGCUGUCUCAAAUGACAGUGUCAGCACUAGGAGCUGAUGGUUAAAGCUCUGCAAGAAAACAGCAUCCAGCAUUUUCUUUUGCUACUCUCAUGGGCCAACAUGAAAGUGCGUAAUGAUGGACACAGGCUUUGCUUAAGUGGAGCAAAGGGCUUCAGUGAAAUUCAAUAUUGUCA
rnacentral:lncRNA from 1 species